rnacentral:rRNA from 1 species
GUCUGUGGCCAUGCCACUCUGAACAAGCCGGAUGUCUGUUCUCGGAAGCUAAGCAGGGUCGGGCCUGGUUAGUACUUGGAUGGGAGACCACCUAGGAAGACCAGGUGCUGUAGGCA